rnacentral:rRNA from 1 species
GAUGAACGCUGGCGGCGUGCCUAAUACAUGCAAGUCGAGCGAACAGACGAGGAGCUUGCUCCUCUGACGUUAGCGGCGGACGGGUGAGUAACACGUGGAUAACCUACCUAUAAGACUGGGAUAACUUCGGGAAACCGGAGCUAAUACCGGAUAAUAUAUUGAACCGCAUGGUUCAAUAGUGAAAGACGGUUUUGCUGUUACUUAUAGAUGGAUCCGCGCCGCAUUAGCUAGUUGGUAAGGUAACGGCUUACCAAGGCAACGAUGCGUAGCCGACCUGAGAGGGUGAUCAGCCACACUGGAACUGAGACACGGUCCAGACUCCUACGGGAGGCAGCAGUAGGGAAUCUUCCGCAAUGGGCGAAAGCCUGACGGAGCAACGCCGCGUGAGUGAUGAAGGUCUUCGGAUCGUAAAACUCUGUUGUUAGGGAAGAACAAAUGUGUAAGUAACUAUGCACGUCUUGACGGUACCUAAUCAGAAAGCCACGGCUAACUACGUG